UUCUCCCUCCAAAAGUGACAUCUGGCGGCCUACACUCUAAGUUUUUAUCUCCUACUUUUUCCCUACUUUAUAUGAUAGAGGCGAAAAAGUAGGAAAAAGGUAGGAAAUUCCUUCUACUUUAACGAAGUAGGAAACUAUUUUAUUCCUUCUACUUUUGAAAGUAGGGAAAGGUAGG